GCAGGCGGCAGCCCGUGCUGGUGCCGUCCCAUAUAGCUGUCAUCGUCAACGACACUUCCGGUUGCUCCCUCGGUGGCUACUGCACUCCUUCAAUCCGGUUUGCUCAUCUCUACAUCCUGUCUUUAGAUGAAAUUGAUGAGCUUACAAUCAAUGCUACCAUGUACUGCAGGAUCUGUUGGGCGCUAUUAACUCCAUACUAGGUGAAUUGAUCACUCUACAGUACUCUACUCUCUGCUGGAUCCAUAUCUUUUGUUUUUUUAGAUUAUAGUCACUCACAGCUAGAUUAGUUGACUUGUUGGAAAAAGUAGCAAGUUAGUUGAUAGAAAGCCA